AUACGUAGGUGGCAAGCGUUGUCCGGAUUUAUUGGGCGUAAAGCGAGCGCAGGCGGUUCUUUAAGUCUGAUGUGAAAGCCCCCGGCUCAACCGGGGAGGGUCAUUGGAAACUGGGGAACUUGAGUGCAGAAGAGGAGAGUGGAAUUCCAUGUGUAGCGGUGAAAUGCGUAGAUAUAUGGAGGAACACCAGUGGCGAAGGCGGCUCUCUGGUCUGUAACUGACGCUGAGACACGAAAGCGUGGGGAGC
rnacentral:rRNA from 1 species